CCUACGGGAGGCAGCAGUGGGGAAUAUUGCGCACUGGUCGAAAGCCUGACGCAGCGACGCCGCGUGAGGGAUGAAGGUCUUCGGAUCGUAAACCUCUGUCAGCAGGGAAGAACGGUCACUGUGCUAAUCAGCAGUUAAUUUACGGUACCUGCAAAGGAAGCACCGGCUAACUCCGUGCUAGCAGCCGCUGUAAUACGGAGGGUGCGAGCGUUAAUCGGAAUUACUGGGCGUAAAGCGCUCGUAGGCGGUAUGUCAAGUCAAGGGUGAAAUCCCCGCGCUCAACGUGGGAACUGCCUGUGAAACUGGCAAACUGGAGUGUGUGAGAGGAUAGUGGAAUUCCAGGUGUAGGAGUGAAA
rnacentral:rRNA from 1 species